GUAGUCUCGCACAGAUGCAUAUCAAUAAGCGGAGGAAAAGAAACUAACAAGGAUUCCCUCAGUAACGGCGAGUGAAGCGGGAAGAGCUCAAAUUUGAAAUCUUGAAAGGUCACCUUUCACGAAUUGUAGUUUAAAGAAGUGUUUUCUGUUACGAUCGUAAUAUAAGUUCUUUGGAAUAGGACAUCACAGAGGGUGAGAAUCCCGUCUAUGAUUGCGAAUUGUAGCUUUGUGAUACACUUUCAAAGAGUCGGAUUGUUUGGGAAUGCAGUCCCAAAAUGGGAUGGUAAAUUUCAUCUAAGGCUAAAUAUUGGCGAGAGACCGAUAGCGAACAAGUACCGUGAGGGAAAGAUGAAAAGAACUUUGAAAAGAGAGUUAAAUAGUACGUGAAAUUGUCAAAAGGGAAGCGUUUAACACCAGUGUUGUUUUCUGAAAAUCAACCUCUGUUAGCUUUAUGCAUGUUUGUUUAGACCUAAUCAGCUAUCUUGCAUGUUCUAUUGUUUGCAGUGGUGCACUUUUCAGUUUACAGGUCAACAUCAGUUUUUUUUACCGUAAAAAAGUUAAAGAAAGGUAGCUCAUGGCUCCGGUCGUGAGUGUUAUAGUCUUUUUCCUAUGCGGUAGGAGAGACUGAGGUCUGCAGUGUAGGCUAUUUGGCUAGAUACUCAGGUGCUAUGUGAUACCAUUUCAUAAACAACUUGUUGAUUAUGUUUUGUCUAUUGCAUACUCGCUUGUACUAUCAUACCUACGCUUAGGAAUGUUGAGUCGUAGAGCACGCAG
rnacentral:rRNA from 1 species